UACGUAGGUGACAAGCGUUGUCCGGAUUUACUGGGCGUAAAGAGCGCGCAGGCGGUCGUUCAAGUCGAGUGUGAAAGCCCCCGGCUCAACUGGGGAGGGUCAUUCGAUACUGAUCGACUCGAAGGCAGGAGAGGGUAGUGGAAUUCCCGGUGUAGUGGUGAAAUGCGUAGAGAUCGGAAAGAACACCAACGGCGAAAGCACUCUGCUGGGCCGACACUGACACUGAGAGACGAAAGCUAGGGGAGCGAAUGGG
rnacentral:rRNA from 1 species